rnacentral:lncRNA from 1 species
GGGUUUCCAGCUCAGUCUGUGUCCAUAGAUGUGGAUUUUUAACAUUUUGAGCUGUUCUGAGGACGACUGACUGCUGAGAGGUUUUUGUAUGAGGUUGUAACACUGUGAUGCUUUAACAUUUGGAAAAGCCAUCAGUGUGACCGUACUGGCCAGCGAUACGUCCCCCUUGGCUCCAGACUUGUUUGUUCUGAGUCCUCUGCAGCCUGAGGCCCAGUCUGAGUCUUCACCAGCUAGAUCGGGCCCGGACGUCUGUCUGGCCACUAAUUUCCGUCCAAAAGAAGGUCAGAUGGUUCUGUCUCUGCACAAUGUAUCGGAUCAGGUCCCUCUGAGCACCAGCACAGCCGUCCUGUCCCCAAAAGAGAAAUCCUACUUCUUCGCUGGAUUUAGCACAAACAUUAUCGACUCCUGUAAACUGCACAAUACAGAAUCUAAGAAGAAAAUCCAGGAGGUGGUCGAGUGUGAAACUAAAGGAAACACUGAUCCGAGUUCUCUUGAGGACGCUGAAACCUGUGACGACAUUUAUCCAGAACAAUCGAAGCUGAACUUCUAUCUGCUGCUGAUGAACGGGGUCCGAGUGGUGUUCACCAAAACUCUGGCCUUUAACACCAUCCUCACCAUCAGAGCCGUGCUCGUCUAACACGCAGCUCAGAGCAGCUUCACCUCCUCUGUCCUCUUCAGCGAGUCGUCAUCAAACGAGCGAUGACCACAGGUUUUUACAGCAUAGGACUGAUGAGAUCAGUUCAAGUAGUUUCACAACAGCACAAUAAAGUCUUUAUCAAAUGUUCCACUGUUGCUGAAAUCAGGUUUAAAAGUUAUAAAAGUGCAGCGUUUACAGCGACUUCCUGUAAAUGUCCUGGAUUUCAUGUCUCUCUUGUUCUUUAUGUACAUUAUACACAUGUUAUUAUCAUCAUUGUUUUUCUUUGUAUUGAGUUGUGUUGUGUGAUAUGAGCUAAACAAAUAAAGCUGAUUCUGACUCAUGAACUAAAUGAUGAACCGUUCAUCUCCACAUCUCAUAAAUACAACAGACGUUUUAUUAACAGACUAUUGCUGAGCUGAACCUUUUCCACCUCAGUCUGCA